GGUGGAUCUGGUUCUGUGCAAGUUCGAUGGUGAGUGCUUUACCCUUCCUAACAUAUUGAAGUAAGCACAAAUCAUCAGAAUCUACAUUUAGGCACAAACCCAAAACAUAGUAUACCUCCCAAGUGUCCCUACUUAGAGGGGCAGUCCCUAUUUUGGAAAAGGUUUUAUUUUAUAGGCGCUCACUAUAAUUAAUAAAUAAUAAAGGCAGC